UACGUAGGGUGCAAGCGUUGUCCGGAAUUAUUGGGCGUAAAGAGCUCGUAGGCGGCUUGGCAAGUCGGGUGUGAAACCUCCAGGCUCAACCUGGAGACGCCACUCGAUACUGCCAUGGCUAGAGUCCGGUAGGGGACCACGGAAUUCCUGGUGUAGCGGUGAAAUGCGCAGAUAUCAGGAGGAACACCGGUGGCGAAGGCGGUGGUCUGGGCCGGCACUGACGCUGAGGAGCGAAAGCGUGGGGAGCGAACGGG
rnacentral:rRNA from 1 species